rnacentral:pre_miRNA from 1 species
UUUUCUUCUUGUACAUAAUGAAAGGCGUCACUGCGGUAUUGGCCCGGUUCACUCAGACACAGUACAUGUUAUUAUUUGUUUGAUUGAGCCGUGCCAAUAUCUCAAUGCACCUUUCAUCCCCGAAAGAAAA